AGAAUCAACGCUGGCGGCGUGCCUCAGACAUGCAAGUCGAACGAUUAAAGCUCUCUUCGGAGAGUGUAUAGAGUGGCGCACGGGUGAGUAACACGUAAGUAAUCUACCUUCGAGUGGGGAAUAACGUCCGGAAACGGACGCUAAUACCGCAUAAUGCAGCGGCAUCGCAAGAUGACAGUUGUUAAAGAUUUAUCGCUUGAAGAGGAGCUUGCGGCAGAUUAGCUAGUUGUAAGGUAAUGGCUUACCAAGGCUACGAUCUGUAACCGGUCUAAGAGGACGGUCGGUCACACUGACACUGAAUAACGGGUCAGACUCCUACGGGAGGCAGCAGUCGGGAAUUUGGGCAAUGGGCGAAAGCCUGACCCAGCAACGCGCGUGAAGGAUGAAGUAUUUCGGUAUGUAAACUUCGAAAGAAUGGAGGAAUAAAAUGACGUAACCAUUUAAUAAGGUCCGGAUAAACUACGUAGCCAAGCAGCCGC
rnacentral:rRNA from 1 species